CAGAAGAUAGUUUAAAUAAAAUAUUAAUUUUGGAGAUUAGUGAUAAGAGUGUCUUUCUUCUGA
rnacentral:tRNA from 1 species